rnacentral:rRNA from 1 species
GAUGAACGCUGGCGGCGUGCUUAACACAUGCAAGUCGAACGGUGAAGGCGGAGCUUGCUCUGCUGGAUCAGUGGCGAACGGGUGAGUAACACGUGAGCAAUCUGCCCCUGACUCUGGGAUAAGCGCUGGAAACGGCGUCUAAUACUGGAUACGAGCUGCGAAGGCAUCUUCAGCAGCUGGAAAGAACUUCGGUCAGGGAUGAGCUCGCGGCCUAUCAGCUUGUUGGUGAGGUAACGGCUCACCAAGGCGUCGACGGGUAGCCGGCCUGAGAGGGUGACCGGCCACACUGGGACUGAGACACGGCCCAGACUCCUACGGGAGGCAGCAGUGGGGAAUAUUGCACAAUGGGCGAAAGCCUGAUGCUGCAACGCCGCGUGAGGGACGACGGCCUUCGGGUUGUAAACCUCUUUUAGCAGGGAAGAAGCGAAAGUGACGGUACCUGCAGAAAAAGCGCCGGCUAACUACGUG